AGUGAACGCUGGCGGUAGGCCUAACACAUGCAAGUCGAACGGCAGCACAGUAAGAGCUUGCUCUUACGGGUGGCGAGUGGCGGACGGGUGAGGAAUACAUCGGAAUCUACUUUUUCGUGGGGGAUAACGUAGGGAAACUUACGCUAAUACCGCAUACGACCUACGGGUGAAAGCAGGGGAUCUUCGGACCUUGCGCGAUUGAAUGAGCCGAUGUCGGAUUAGCUAGUUGGCGGAGUAAAGGCCCACCAAGGCGACGAUCCGUAGCUGGUCUGAGAGGAUGAUCAGCCACACGAGAACUGAGACACGGUCCAGACUCCUACGGGAGGCAGCAGUGUGGAAUAUUGGACAAUGGGCGCAAGCCUGAUCCAGCCAUACCGCGUGUGUGAAGAAGACCUUCGGUUUGUAAAGCCCUUUUGUUGGGAAAGAAAAGCAGCAGGUUAAGACCCCGCUGUUCUGACGGUACCCAAUGAAUAAGCACCGGCUAACUUCGUG
rnacentral:rRNA from 1 species